rnacentral:rRNA from 1 species
GAUGAACGCUGGCGGCGUGCCUAAUACAUGCAAGUCGAGCGAACAGAUGAGGAGCUUGCUCCUCUGACGUUAGCGGCGGACGGGUGAGUAACACGUGGAUAACCUACCUAUAAGACUGGGAUAACUUCGGGAAACCGGAGCUAAUACCGGAUAAUAUAUUGAACCGCAUGGUUCAAUAGUGAAAGACGGUUUUGCUGUCACUUAUAGAUGGAUCCGCGCCGCAUUAGCUAGUUGGUAAGGUAACGGCUUACCAAGGCAACGAUGCGUAGCCGACCUGAGAGGGUGAUCGGCCACACUGGAACUGAGACACGGUCCAGACUCCUACGGGAGGCAGCAGUAGGGAAUCUUCCGCAAUGGGCGAGAGCCUGACGGAGCAACGCCGCGUGAGUGAUGAAGGUCUUCGGAUCGUAAAACUCUGUUAUUAGUGAAGAACAAAUGUGUAAGUAACUAUGCACGUCUUGACGGUACCUAAUCAGAAAGCCACGGCUAACUACGUG